rnacentral:rRNA from 1 species
CCUACGGGAGGCAGCAGUGAGGAAUAUUGGUCAAUGGGCGCGAGCCUGAACCAGCCAAGUAGCGUGCAGGAUGACUGCCCUACGGGUUGUAAACUUCUUUUAUAAAGGAAUAAAGUGAGGCACGUGUACCUUUUUGUAUGUACUUUAUGAAUAAGGAUCGGCUAACUCCGUGCCAGCAGCCGCGGUAAUACGGAGGAUCCGAGCGUUAUCCGGCUUUCUUGGGUUUAAAGGGAGCGUAGAUGGGUUGUUAGGCUUGUUGUGAAAGGUUGGGGCUCAACCCUAAAAUUGCAAUUGAGACUGGCAGUCUUGAGUACAGGUGAGGCAGGCGGAAUUCGUGGUGUAGCGGUGAAAUGCUUAGAUAUCACGAAGAACCCCGAUUGCGAAGGCAGCUUACUAAACUGCAACUGACACUGAUGCUCGAAAGUGUGGGUAUCAAACAGGAUUAGAUACCCUGGUAGUC